rnacentral:rRNA from 1 species
AUGGCUUCCCGGGUCUCGCUCUCGGCGGCUUCCUUGGGCUCUUCAUCCCCCUCGGCCGCUCCCACCGCGCCGGCCAGGCCACCUCUGCGCUCCAUGGUGCUGGUUCCAGAUGUCGUCGGCACGGCUCAUGGGCCCAUCAUGCGCGGCGCUCCUUCUGCGUUGCGUGCUGCGCCGGCGGGUGGCUGGCAGGCCGGUGGCGGCCGCCGCCUGGUAGAUCUGCCCGGUCGCCGUCCUACAGAGGCGGCGAGGCGCUCUCCUCCGGGCAGAUGGCUGAAUAUCCUGCCCUCCUUGCGGCCUCUGAGGGGCCGCAUUCCGGUUGAGCUCGUCAGGUUCUGCUACAACUGCGGGGACAGCCGGCACAUCUCCGCCAUGUGCACAAGGCCGUCGCUUUUAUUGCGGUGCGGUGGGGAAGGCCACAUCUCGCGGGACUGCUACGUCCAGCGCCGGCGCCCGCGUAGCUCCUCUCCGGUGGCUCCUUGCCGCCCUCCGCCGGCGCUCCAUUAG